UCCCUGGUGGCUCAGAUGGUAAAGAAUCUGCCUGCAAUGCAGGAGACCCGGGUUUGAUUCCUGGGUUGGGAA
rnacentral:tRNA from 1 species